rnacentral:rRNA from 1 species
UACGGAGGGUGCGAGCGUUGUCCGGAAUCAUUGGGCGUAAAGGGCGCGUAGGUGGCCACUUCAAGCGUGCGGUGAAAGUCGGGGGCUCAACCCCUGAUCGGCCGUGCGAACUGGGGGGCUGGAGCACUGUAGAGGCAGGCGGAAUUCCGGGUGUAGCGGUGGAAUGCGUAGAGAUCCGGAAGAACACCGGUGGCGAAGGCGGCCUGCUGGGCAGAUACUGACGCUGAGGUGCGAAAGCGUGGGGAGCAAACAGG